GCAAUCUUUCGCUCUCUUCUCUGUCGUUCGCUCUCUCCUGCGAGUCUCUCAAUCGUUCGCUCUCAAUCGUUUCUGUCCUUGUCUUGUUCGAUCGGUUUUAGGGUUUUAGGGUUUCUGUUUAAUCAUCGGUUUAUUAUUAUCGUAUCGAUCGAUUUUAGCUAGGGUUUGUGUUUAUUAUCGUAUUGUGUUGUUGUGUUGUGUGUUUUGGUGAUAAUGAUUGCAGGUAUGAAGAUGCGCAAGGAAAACUGGGACAGAUUCAUUCCCAAUAGAUCAGCCAUGGACUUGGAGUUUGCUCAACAUGCCAUCAUCGAUGCCCUAAGAGGAGACAGCGGCGGAAAAGAAGAAGAAGCGGCGGUGCUGCUUUCAGCCUCCAAAGACGCUUACCGGAGAGGUUUGGCGGAAGCUCUGAAUCUCAGCCACCGCACCCGUAUUCUCGCCUUCAGGAACAAACCUCCAAAGAAGACACAUCAUUACUCUCCUCCUCCUCCUCCUCUUCAACGACGACACAUUCCUCUUUCCUCUUGGAAAACGUUGGAGGCUCCUGGGAUGGUUGAUGACUUCUGCUUAAACCUGCUUGACUGGGGUUCUCACAACGUCUUGGCCAUUGCCUUGGGCUACACUCUUUACCUCUGGGAUGCUUCUACCAACUCUGUUUCUAAGCUCGUCACCAUUGAGGAAGCCAAAGGACCCAUCACAAGCGUAAGCUGGUCACCUGAUGCUUCUCUCCUUGCUCUUGGCCUCAACUUCUCUCAAGUCCAGCUUUGGGAUUCUUCCUCCAACCGCAAGAUCAAAUCUUUGAAGAGUCACUCUGGAGUCGGAGUCGGAUCACUUGCCUGGAACAACAACAACAACAUCCUCACUAGUGGAGGAAUGGAUGGCAAGAUUGUCAACACCGAUGUCCGGUCGUCUCAUGUUGUCUCUACUUACAGAGGUCACACUGGAGAGGUUUGUGGGCUCAAGUGGUCUGCUUCUGGAAACCACCUUGCUAGUGGUGGCACCGACAAUCUUGUACACGUAUGGGAUGCUUCCAGAUCAUCAACCACCCAAUGGUUGCACAGGCUUGAGGAACAUACAGGGGCCGUGAAAGCUCUUGCUUGGUGCCCCUUCCAGUCGAGUUUACUUGCUACUGCUGGUGGUGGAGUAGAUGGGACGAUCAAGUUCUGGAACACUCACACCGGAGCUUGCUUGAACUCUGUCAACACUGGAUCCCAAGUGUGUGCUUUGUUCUGGAGCAAGAGAGACAGAGAGUUGCUUUGCUCACAUGGCAACCAACUUGCACUUUUGAAGUACCCAUCCUUACUGAAAAUUGCUCAUCUCACUGGCCAUACUUCACCCGUUCUCUACAUGGCACAGAGUCCUGAUGGCUGUACCGUUGCUUCAGCUUCAGCUGCAGGAGACAAGAGUUUGAGGUUCUGGGAUGUUUUUGCAAUGCCCAAAAAACCUGAUCACAAAGCACCCCAUGAACCAUUUUCUCACAGACUUAGUGGAACACCUGGAAUGACAAUGGACUGGCAAAGUACACCAGGAAGCCCUAGCUCAUACACCGUGAAAAGGAUACUGCGUCUGGAGAUCCCAGUAGAUAGCUAUCCUAAUUUCAAUUUUGUUGGUCGACUUCUCGGUCCAAGAGGCAACUCGUUGAAGCUACUACAGGUUGCCGUGUGUUCAUCAGAGGGAAAGGGUCAAUCAAGGAUCCGGAAAAGGUAUCACACUAUACUCGUCCCAAUGAAACCAUUAGCUGUAAGUGUACUGUUAAGGAAGAUGGAGGGCUCAGUUUGUACAAGGUUGAACUUAAACUUGUAAGACAUUUGGUUGUUGAUGUAUCUUGCAUUGAUAAGAAUCUUGACAUGAGGUUAAUGCUAUCUACCAAAGGGAAAAUCACUGAUCUCACAGAGAAAAAGAUAAGUGACAUCAAAGAGCUGCUUGAUUCAGCUAGAGUUGAUCCAAAUGUAAAAGGUGGUUUAAGGUGGCCGUUUGGUAAAUCUUCAUCUGGGGAUGGAUACAGUGUCUUUGAAUCUUGUUAUGUUAAAGCUACAGUCUACAAGAACCAAACUCUAAGGCUUAGGGUGAGAGAGACUGAUAGAUUUAAUGAAAGGACUUGAACAGGGGAAGUCAAGAGGGAGGUCGUUCUGAUGCUUAAAGACAUGAACACUAAGUUACAGGAGCAGAACAUUGGCAGGGGUUGUGUUUCGGAAAUGCUUAGAGAUUUUCUUGGAACCUUGUGGGACUUCUUGCAUUGUGAAGCCUAUCUAACGUGAUAAAGAACGAUAUGAUGUUGAUGUUGAAUUUCUUACUCUCUUUUUGAUUCUGUUGAGCUUUUGGUACAAAUAUAGUUUUUUCGGUUUGUAUCGAGUAACAAAAUUUAUGUCCUUGCUUAUCUUGGCUGAAGAAAAAUAAGAAACAUGGUAGAGUUGAAGACA